CUUGAUGGUAGUGUAUUGGACCACCUUGAUUGUAACGGGUACGGAGAAUAGGGUUUCGAUUCCGGAGAGGGAGCCUGAGAAACGGCUACCACUUCCAAGGAAGGCAGCAGGCGCGCAAAUUACCCAAUCUCAAUACGAGGAGGUAGUGAAUAAAAAUAACAAUCCAGAGCUUGAUAAAAGUUUUGGAAUUGGAAUGAGAACAAUGUAAAUACCUUAACGAGGAACAAUUGGAGGGCAAGUCUGGUGCCAGCAGCCGCGGUAAUUCCAGCUCCAAUAGCGUAUGCUAAAGUUGUUGCAGUUAAAAAGCUCGUAGUCGGAUUUUUCGUUGUACACUUUGAAGGCUGCUUCACCGGGGGAUAACAUCCUCCGGGGCAGUCAGUGUGCAAUAACAACUUUGGUAAACUUCUGGCUGCUCAUUCACUUGGGCGGUUAUAAAAGCAGCAGUCUUCGCGGGCUGCUGCGGAGUUACCAAUCUUUUACUGUGAAGAAACUUGAGUGUUCAAAGCAAGCAUUCUCUGCCUGAAAAAUUCAGCAUGGGAUAAUGAAAUAGGCUUACGCGUCUAUUUUCGCCGGUUUUCGGACUUUUGCGUGAGAAUGGUCGAUAGGGGCGGUCGGGGGCACUCGUACCCAGCGGUCAGAGGUGAAAUUCUUGGAUUCGCGGGAGACGAACUUAUGCGAAAGCGUUUGCCAAGGACGCUUUCUUUGAUCAAGAACGAAAGUUAGGGGAUCAAAGACGAUCAGAUACCGU
rnacentral:rRNA from 1 species